rnacentral:tRNA from 1 species
GGCCUCUUGGCGUAAUGGCAGACGCAUGGGACUUAAAAUCCCAGGUCAUAUGACGUGCGAGUUCAAGUCUCGCAGAGGCUA